rnacentral:miRNA from 1 species
AAACACACACACACACAUAUAUAUACUGUGUAUGUAUAUAUAUGUGUGUGUGUGUGUGU